AUGAUGGUGGUGGCAACUACGAGCCCCGACGGGCUAGAGGCGCUGCAGGUGCGCGAGGUCGAGGAUCUCUCGGCGCCGGGGGAGGGCAAGCUGCUUGUCGGGGUGGCCGCUGCCGGCGUCAAUCGCGGCGACACGGUCCAGCGGCAGGGCCGGUACUCGCCGCCGGUCGGCGCCUCCCCCUACCCGAGGCUUGAGUGCUCCGGCACCAUCGUCGCGCUCGGGGCCAACACCCCCCGCGCUGGGCCGUCGGUACCAGGUGCCAAGCGUGCCCCCAUGGUGAAUUUGCUGAUGGCCGCAGCUGCUCUGAACCUCACUUUUUUUGCAUAUGCUGUUGCAUUUGCAGGUGUACGCGCUGCUUACCGGCGGCGGAUCCAUGGUGGAUCUAGUGGAAUCAGUACAUUCACUAUACAGAAUGCAAAGCACCUUGGAAAUGUACACAUGAGACAUCAUUCUUUAUACACCGAUCGACGUGUUAACGUUGCAGAGACAACAUCUCUGCUGCUCUAG
rnacentral:rRNA from 1 species